rnacentral:rRNA from 1 species
UACGAAGGGGGCUAGCGUUGUUCGGAAUUACUGGGCGUAAAGCGCGCGCAGGCGGUCUUCCAAGUCAGUGGUGAAAGCCUGGAGCUCAACUCCAGAACUGCCAUUGAAACUGUUAGACUUGAGUUCGGGAGAGGUGAGUGGAACUGCGAGUGUAGAGGUGAAAUUCGUAGAUAUUCGCAAGAACACCAGAGGCGAAGGCGGCUUUCUGGCUCGUAACUGACGCUGAGGCGCGAAAGCGUGGGGAGCAAACAGG